AGAUCUGAUCGUCUUCAAGGAGCAGGUUUGUGCUGCUUUAAUAGUGCGCGAAAAACCUUCCUUUCGGAGUCCGUGACUGCCUAAGAGCGAGGCUAGUCCCGGCCUCACCAGCGACAUUUUUGUCUGGUUUCUGGAGGAAGAGAAGGCUCUCAUGACUUCUGCCCUGACGAUCUCCCAGGCACAGGGGCUGUAGCUCUUCUCUUGCAGAUAGAGGGCAGGUGUUCAGAGCAGCUGAAGAACGUCUCCUGUGGUCAGACAUCUGCAUCACCAAGCUCACUGGGGACCUGCCAGGCUCUUCACUGGUGACAUGGAGGAUGAUGGUCUCCAGCCCCGUCUGCAGACUUAGCUGUGACCUGGCCCAGAUCCAUGGCCUGCCAAAGCAGGAGACCCCCACAAUUCUGCACCUAAUGGGGAGAGUCUUCCUUGUUUUCCUGCCUGAAGGACAGGAAUGCUUUUGGGUUCCCAAGAAGCUGAACCCAAAAACCUCAUGCCACCUCUUUCUCCAUGAGAUGAUCCAGCCGAGCUUUAGCUUCUUCAGCACAGACAGUUGAAAUUCCUCACUGGGCUUGAUCAACAGGAGGAGGAUCUGGAGACCAGUUUGGUGCAGGAGCCUGGGGAAGAAAAGACCUUCCUGGAAAGGAAGACUCCAACCUGACUUUGAAGAAGUCCUUUUGAAGGACCAGGCUACACCUGAAAAGAAAGUACAUUGCUGCUGUGUGUGGGACUUCAUCAGACUGGAAGUUAAGAUGUGAAAGUAGGCUGUGCUUUCCCUGUAGCAUCAACCUCAGAGAAAACCCAGAAGUGGGCAAGGAGACUUGAAGCCAGUCAUCCACAAUUGAGUUUUGCCUAUUUAUAGGUGCCACAAGUUCAAUGUUUCCUCAGUUCAAAGCCAUUUUUGCUUCAGUUGUAAAUGCACUGAGUCAUCUCAGCACAUUGAUUUUAGUCGUAAUUGGAAAUAAUACUUUUGAAUCCAGAGAAACUAUAUUUUUAAAUUUGUAAUAAUUAGAAUUUAUCUAUUAUGAUUGCUGCAUUUACAAAAUUUGUACUUAUGAUUUGGUCAGUUUUUCUUUGGGGGUAUACAAGGUAUAUUUUAACUGUUAGCUUUUACUUAUAAACUGUAAAGAAUCAAAAGUGUUGGGGCAUUCCCACUGUGACACAGUAAAGAAUCAAAGUGUCCUUAAACCUUAAAUCUGACUUAAAAUCAAAAAGGAAUAUAAUUAGUUUUAUUUAUUUCAUUGAUUCUUAACAUAUUUUUAUGCUACAGUAGUUUACUUGUGUUUGUGAAUAUAUUGGUAAAUAAAACAAAGAUACUGC
rnacentral:lncRNA from 1 species